UACGAAGGGGGCUAGCGUUGUUCGGAUUUACUGGGCGUAAAGCGCACGUAGGCGGAUCGUUAAGUCAGAGGUGAAAUCCUGGAGCUCAACUCCAGAACUGCCUUUGAUACUGAAAGUCUUGAGUAUGGGAGAGGUGAGUGGAACUGCGAGUGUAGAGGUGAAAUUCGUAGAUAUUCGCAAGAACACCAGUGGCGAAGGCGGCCAACUGGUCCGGUACUGGACGCUGAGGCG
rnacentral:rRNA from 1 species